GACACGGCUGGGACAGCUGCCAGCACGAGGACUACGUGAUGCGCAUGAAGGAGUUCGAGCGCGAGCGGCGCCUGCUGCAGCGCCAGAAACGGCUCCGGCAGCGCCACGGGGACACCGAGUGACACCUGGCGACACCUGGGGACAACGAGCGACACCUGGGGACACCGCCGUGGCGGUGACACUGCGGGGACGGUGACGCGAGGCCACCCCCGCGCAAUAAACCCGCCGAGUGACACCG